GCAAGUCGAGGGAGGAGCCUUCGGGCUUCGACCGGCGUACGGGUGCGUAACGCGUAUACAAUCUGCCUUUCACAUAGGGAUAGCCCGAAGAAAUUUGGAUUAAUACCUAAUGGUAUAUAGGGGUGGCAUCACCUUUAUAUUAAAGCUGAGGCGGUGAAACAUGAGUAUGCGUUCUAUUAGCUAGUUUGAGAGGUAACGGCUCCCCAAGGCGACUAUAGAUAGGGGUUCUGAGAGGGAUAUC
rnacentral:rRNA from 1 species